GUGGGCGUGGUGUAAACGGCAACAUCUCCCACUUGCCAGUGAGAGGAUACGGGUUCGAGUCCCGUCGCCCACUCC
rnacentral:tRNA from 1 species